GUUCCCCAUGAUGUUUUAUCAAACCAUGCUAAUUCUGAGAUUCUUUGGUGAGUGAAUUGUUCUUAUCCAGAUCUUCUGAGGGAACU
rnacentral:snoRNA from 1 species